rnacentral:rRNA from 1 species
GCGCACCAGGCGAGAAACCUCCGCAAUGCGGGAAACCGUGACGGGGUCACCCGAGUGCCUCCCGAUAAGGGAGGCUUUCCCCGCUGUAAACAGGCGGGAGAAUAAGCGGGGGCAAGUCUGGUGUCAGCCGCCGCGGUAAUACCAGCCCGCGAGUGGUCGGGACGGGUUAUUGGGCCUAAAAGCGCCCGUAGCCGGCCCGGCAAGUCCCCG